rnacentral:rRNA from 1 species
AAAGAGCGCGUAGGCGGACCCUUAAGUGAGGGGUGAAAGGUUCGGGCUCAACCCGGAGAGUGCCUUUCAUACUGGGGGUCUUGAGUGCGGGAGAGGCAAGUGGAAUGGUCGGUGUAGCGGUGAAAUGCGUAGAUAUCGAUCGGAACACCCGUGGCGAAGGCGGCUUGCUGGCUCGCAACUGACGCUGAGGCGCGAAAGCGUGGGGAGCAAACAGGAUUAGAUACCCUAGU